rnacentral:rRNA from 1 species
AAAUUGAAGAGUUUGAUCAUGGCUCAGAUUGAACGCUGGCGGCAGGCCUAACACAUGCAAGUCGAACGGUAACAGGAGGCAGCUUGCUGCUUCGCUGACGAGUGGCGGACGGGUGAGUAAUGUCUGGGAAACUGCCUGAUGGAGGGGGAUAACUACUGGAAACGGUGGCUAAUACCGCAUAACGUCGCAAGACCAAAGAGGGGGACCUUCGGGCCUCUUGCCAUCAGAUGUGCC